UUUUUUGGGGGUGGGGGUUGGACGAAUGGGUCAACUAAGACUCGAGCUUUUCUUGUUCAGCCUUUAUCUGAGGCAGAUCGAGCUAGCUUUGUCCAGGGCCAGCCACAAUCAGUAAGGAUGAGGUGAUCCAAACAAAUCUGGGUCCUUCUAUGGUGACAUUGGAGUCGCAAUAUUUGUUGUUAGUUUUCAUAUGUAAUUUUUAUUUGUAUUUUGCAACUUGGAGGUUCAACUAGGUGUUUCUGGAGAUUAUGUUAGUUUUCAUAGUGCCGUCAUGCUAUUAGUAGUUUCCUUGGAGUUGUGCAGUGUUAUUACCCCUUUGUGCCCUUGUACUAUGCCACUGAGGCACACAACUUUGUGCAUUUUUUUUGUUCCUUUAUUUUUUUUUUUUGUGCUUUGCAUAUUUGUGCACCUCUAUGGUUUGGUUGUUCUAUUUGACCAAAACGUAUCCAUUUUUUGUUCAAGCAUUGCAGCUUUAGGGACAUAGUUGAGUAAAUAAAGCUUGCUUUGUAUAUCUGCAAAUUGUUUAGUUUAUGGAACUAGGUUUUUUUUUAAAAUUUUAUCAUUGUAUUGGUUAAUGUUUAUUCCUAAUAAUCGCAAUUUUGAAUAGUUAGUGAUAUUAUUGCCAUAUUGUGUUAGUUUUGUAAGUUAUUUUUUCUAUCUUUAUCAUUCAUGUCAACUAUGCAUUACUUCCAAGCGUUCAAGUAUUUAGCAUAUAUAUUAACGUGACUCAAUUGCCAUGGUCGGUUUAAGCAACUGUACUUUUUCCCCUUAGUACUUAAAUCAAGUAAGAAUGUCAGAAAUUUAUGUUUUUUCAGGCUUUUAGCAACUUUAUUUGUUCUUAAGUUAUGUUUUUGUGCCAAUAUUAAAUAA